rnacentral:lncRNA from 1 species
CUCCCUGAAAAGUGCAGCCGCUUUGAAAUGCAAGAUGGCGGCGGCGGGGCGCUGAGAGGCGCGGCGGCCCCUGCAGAAUGAAAGAAGACAGAAAGACUGAUGUUUCUAAGCAUUUCACUCACAAUUGUGUUUUUCUUCUAUGAGAUGGCAGAUAGGUACUUGAGACCUGUUGGCAAUGAUGGCCUGAGCUAAACACCUCCUAAUUUGAAGGAACACCCUUCAGUCUCAAAGGACAGAAUGCUGAGAAAGCUAUGGCAGGUAUGUGUGUGUUGUUCUGCUAAGGUAAAACUCAGAUACUGAAUGUGCUCACUUUAGAUCUCCUGAUACUAUAUUUAGCUACAGUUUUAAAACCUUUUGUUUGAAAAGCAGCGGAUAUAUUCCUAACACUUUUUAAAGAAAUGUACUUUCAAACUCUAAAAAUAUAGGAGUAUUGGCUGCUUUAAUGUUAAAGGAAACACCAUCACACUUCAUAGUAAAUCUAUGAGGUAUAUUUAUAAUUGAUUUUUCAAUGGAUACUUGCUGAAAUCCUUUAUGUGUCA